CAGACGAGCAUGCGCUCCAUUAGCCAGUUGGCGGGGUAACGGCCCACCAAAGCGACGAUGGAUAGGGGUUCUGAGAGGAAGGUCCCCCACAUUGGAACUGAGACACGGUCCAAACUCCUACGGGAGGCAGCAGUGAGGAAUAUUGGUCAAUGGUCGGCAGACUGAACCAGCCAAGUCGCGUGAGGGAAGACGGCCCUACGGGUUGUAAACCUCUUUUGUCGGAGAGUAAAGUACGCUACGUGUAGCGUAUUGCAAGUAUCCGAAGAAAAAGCAUCGGCUAACUCCGUGCCAGCAGCCGCGGUAAUACGGAGGAUGCAAGCGUUAUCCGGAUUUAUUGGGUUUAAAGGGUGCGUAGGCGGCACGCCAAGUCAGCGGUGAAAUUUCCGGGCUCAACCCGGACUGUGCCGUUGAAACUGGCGAGCUAGAGUGCACAAGAGGCAGGCGGAAUGCGUGGUGUAGCGGUGAAAUGCAUAGAUAUCACGCAGAACCCCGAUUGCGAAGGCAGCCUGCUAGGGUGCGACAGA
rnacentral:rRNA from 1 species